rnacentral:lncRNA from 1 species
CAGAAGUGCAGAGAUUCAUAGGCUAGCCGGAGCUGCCUUGUUUUUGUUCCUUUAUUAGAAACAUGGACAGGGUACAUAAUAAUCACGGCCAGUUGAUGCCUCGCCUCUCUCUAGAAGAGUUCAAAUAUGCAUUAACAAGCACCGGCAGUUGCUAAUUGCCAGGCAUACUACCAAGUAAAUUAAGAUAAUCGUUACUGCAGGCAACAAGCUAAAAAAGAUUUACUGCCGGAAAGUGCUCGUUUGGCCUCCGGAAGCUAUAUCAGACAAAGUUUCAGAAUAACAGGUGAAUCAUAUGCGGACGACAUAGGCUCAGAGCAGACGAAGCAGUGCGGGAGUAGAAGGCCACCACGAACCCCACCACGAAUCCGAUGGCCACUCCGAUGCUCGACUGGUCGUUGAGCCCGUGCAGCCUGAUUCGUACCGGUCUCCAUCUCCUCCUCGAGGGGGGACAAUCAUCCAAUGGUGAACCACAAUGUCCUUGGUUACCAGCAAAGUUCGAAGCCGGAAACUUACGUGGUAAAGUAGGAAUAGGCCCUGAUAACAAGUUCUCCACAACAUUGAAUGCGGUUAACCGAGUAAGCAAAUCGAAUUGCGGUGGAAUUUGACCGCUGAGUUGGUUAUGCUGGAGGUUGAGGAGAUUCAGAUAUAUCAUGUUUGAGAUAUUCUGUGGGAUCGAACCCGAAAAACUAUUGUACGAAAGGUCCAGAGAUGUCAGGUACGGCACCUGCCGUGAAAUGUCCUGAAGGAUUGGUCCUGAAAAAUUGUCAUUCGACAGAUCCAGGCCGGUCAUGCUUGCACAAUCUUGAAGACCUUGGGAAAAUGCGCCUUGAGGUCCUAGGUUGCCGAGACGCAGAGAGAGAACCCUGUUCUCAUCGGCGAACCAGCAUUCCACACCAAUAAAGCGGCAUAUCUAACCACGGAGGCCAUUGUUGUCAAAGUUCCACGAGGAUUUGAGUACACCGUUGGGAUCAAUCACUGAUUGUUGUACAGACUUGAGGCACUGGAUAUCUUGUUCAGAACUAAAACACAACGAUAAGCUGCUCAAGAGGAGAAACAAAAGGAGGAACUUGGAAUCAUCAGUCAUCGCAUACGAGGACGAGGAGUGAAACAAGCAGCUGCUCUCUCCGCUAAAAUCUGCAGCUUGUCAAUUACAGCGUCACCUGAUCAAAACAUGUGUAAGAUACUUGAACACGCUACUUGAAAAAUAAGAAAUAAUUGGCUCGGACAUAAGACACCAGAAAGCAGACGCCAUAAGAAGUAAAUAAGUCACGUGUACUACUUGCCUUGUUGAUUUCAUGCAAUACUUCAUACACAAGAUGAGGGGCUUCAGAAAACUCACCAGUUGAUAGAUCCAAGGCAGAAGCCACUACCUGCCAUAGUUGAAGGGACACGGCUCUUAAAGGGGCAACCCCUCCACUGGAGCACAGACUUUUUCUUCAGCUAAUUAAUUCCCCAGGUCCUACUGAAUGGGUGAGUAGCUAGCACAAGGAAGAAAGAUUGGCCAGCUCACUAUCCCACUCCAAGCAAGUAAGCAGUCAACGAAACUCAACACCAAAGAGAAAAUAGUGGUAGAACUUUCUGCGCCGAUGCAUCGCAUCACCGAUUUAUGAUGCUAGAAAAACUAAGACAUAUGAGAGAGACAUCUACAACUUUGUCAAGAGCAAAGACAAUGCUUCUCCUGGUCCUAGUAGGCACUUGGAUUAAUUCAGGAUCAAAACAGGACUUGUUAAUUACAAUUUGAAAAACAAUUGAUAUUGGGCAAAGCAUGGACACACUACCAGAAACUGAAAUUUUUCUGUGUGCCAAAUGUUUUUCCUGUCGGGCCCGCAGCUAACGCACAGUAAAAUUCAUAUCCAUGUCAGCCCAUUGUACAAGAUCAGAUAAACGCACAUCAACAUGAGAAGUUUCACAAUUUUUAUUAUUUAAUUGGAUCAUGAGAUAUUCGUAAUAUUCAUCAGAAUGUAGCCGUACUUCACUCUUGUCACCACACACACGACUUGUUUGCCCACAUAUUUACCACUGAAUAGACCAACAAAGGCAGCUGGCGCAUUCUCUAGCCCAAUGCUCGUGUACCCGCCGUCACCCACAAACACGAAAGGUGUAGGGCUGGAACCUCCCACAGAACAAGAACUUGUGCGGGAAGUAGAAGGCCACCACGAACCCAAAGAUGAACCCAGCCGACGCCCCGAUGAUGGACGCGUCGUUGAUCCUGUGCAGUAGCUUCUGAAUCCGGACAAACAUCUCCCGAAUCCGGACAAGCCGAACGUGUAUCCGCACCCUGAACCUCUUCUUGCACUUAUUGUCCAGCGGCGCCCCGCAGAGCCCCGGGUUGCCCAUGAAGUUGGCGGUCGGGAAGCUCUGCAGAGAGUCCGGGACGGGACCGAACAACGAGUUCUUGGCGACGUUGAACGAAAUGAGGCGUGAAAGGUUGAUCGCCGGAAUUUCGCCGGUGAACUGGUUGUGUUGAAGAGCGAGGAUGUUGAGGUACGUCAUGUUCAUGAUGCUUGCAGGGAUUCCACCUGAGAAGCUGUUGUUCGAGAGGUCUAGAAAGCUUACAUAGGGCAUCUGCUCAGAGAUGUGUUCUGGGAGCGGCCCUGAAAAGUUGUUGCCUGACAGGUCCAGAGUGGUCAUGGAGGUGCAAAGCUCGAGGCCUCGAGGAAAUGGACCUUCGAGUCCUAAGUUGCCGAGGCGCAAACUGAGAACCCUGUUUUCAUUAGGGUUCCAGCAUUCCACGCCGGUGAACCCGCAUAUGUCACCGUCAUCGCGGAUGUCAGUAAAAUUCCACCGGUGGGAUUUUUUCCCUAGUAUAUCAUUAGGAUCAAUCAACGAUUGUUUGAGGUCCUUCAAGCAUUGGACAUCAGAAGCACUGAUUCCAUGGCCAAAGUAUGAUGACGAGCUGCUUAGGAGCAGCAGCCAGACGACCAGCUUGUUGUAACCAUGCAUCGUGAACCUGCCGGCUGCCUUCCAGUGUCACCUGCUCCAUCAAAAUACGCACGAUCAAGGAUGUUCUGGCAUAUCACUUGUAAUGAUAUACUACUCUCUAGCACAAGCCUUUACAAAGACGUCCCUUCACGAAAACGCGGUGGCAAAAAAUAGAAAGAAAAAAUCCGGCUGUUUUGAACUCGCCUGAUCCGUACCUCACAGCUGCUCACCAAUUAUGCAGCAGAAAGCAGAGCCGGCGCUAGUAGAAAUACAUGAAGGAAACAUUUAUGUCAUUCCCUUACCUGAAGAGAAACAGACGCGAACGAAUACAUGAUCAGAACAUGUGUAAGAACACUUAAAACUCUGCUUCAAAUAAUAAGAAGAGAUGAAAACAUGGAGACACAAUACAAAAGCAGGCUCCGAAAGGCAAAUAAUAAGCCAUAUUUACUUGCUUUGUUGAUUUCAUGUACUCCGUACUAGUUCUUAGACAAGGUAAGGUGUUUCAGAGAACUCACCAGUUAAUGUAGCCAAAGUAGAGGGCACCACCUGCAGCAAUUGAACAGGCACAGCCCUUUUAAAACGGUGAAUCUCUGCACUAGGUGACAUGCUUUUUGUUCUGUUAGCUUCCAAGUCUUGCAAAUUGAAAUGUUGUCGUGGCCGGCCGACCUGCAGGCAAGAAGGUCAAAGUCACCAGGUUACACACCAAGAAAAGUAGUAUUUUAUUAGGAAGUCCUGAUUUAGAGAGUUAACUAUGUUAGGAGUUCAAUCAUAUGAUGUAAGGCAAUUUUCCCACUUAAAAUAGGGGUAGAACUUUCUGCAUUGAUGUAUCACAUCAUCAAUUUACGAGGAUAGAAAAACUAAGACAUAUGAGACAGACAGCUACUUUGUCAAGGGUAAAGACAAUGCUUCUCAUGGUCCUAGUAGGCACUUGGAUUGAGGAUCAAACCAUGGCUUGUUAAUUAUAGAUUAAUAAUCACUUAAUAUUGGGCAAAGAAUGGACAAGAAACUAACCAAGCAGCCCCAAAUGUUAGGAGAGUGGUAUGGCGCUUUGUUGAAUCUUAUCCAGCUGUUCAGGCUUGUCAACCAAGUUGUAUUCCUCCCAGCCAGUCAUUCCUGAAAUAAUGUCACCGGCAACGAACCCCGGAUGAGCGGAAUCCACGCCCGACCCUUCUAUAACCUUGACAUAUUAAAAUUUGCCUGGUCAGUAAACAGCAAGUAGCCAGCAACAAGAGAGAGCAGUCAGAAGGGAAGAACUGCAAAGGGAGGGCAAAAAAGACUGACAGAUCCGGGCUUCCGGUCGCGCAUGUAGGGGUCGCAGGAGAGCAAGAGAUUCUUCGCCAGCACGGCCGGGCCAGCGGCGCCCCGGGGACGCGCAGCGGCACGGCGCCGCCGUCGACGAGCGCCACGUCGUCCUCCCUCGGCGCGAGGGUGAUGUAUUCCCACAGCACACCUUCCAGUUCCUCGCGGUCUCCGCCGACGGGGGUUCAGCCCUAUUUUUGACACGAAAAUCAGGGUAUUCUUUUAAAAAAGGGUUGUUUUCCUCUGGUUAUUGCACACUAGCACAUACGCCGUGCAUUGCAACGGAAGAUAAAAUAAUAUGCAUUUAAAGUCGGUGAGAAUUAUAUGUGCAAGCAAAACCAUAUGUGCACACGAAAAAGAAACAUUUAGUUUUUAGAUUUCGUCACGGGUGAAGUAAUCAAUCCGCUAUAUUUUCAUUCAUUGAUUGAGGGCAUUUAAGAGUUUUGUUACGUCAUUGUACGUCACAGAAGGCCUAAUAAGUUAUUUAAUCUAUUCUUCCUUUCAAUCCUUUCAACCGAGGGCAUUUUAAGGUAUGAUGUUUCUGAAUAUUCUAUAAAUCAUGAACAAUUUUUUAAAUACAGAAUAAUUUUUAAAAAAAAUAUGUGCACUUUUGAAGAAAACACGAACAAAAUAUGAAAGCGAACAUCUUUUAAAAUUCACAAACAUUUUCUGAAAACAGCAACUUUUUUAUAAAAGCAUGAACAUUAUUUGAAUUUGGGAACAUUUUUUUAAAACAGGAACACUUGUUGAAAAUUCGUAAGAUUUUUAGAAAAUGUGUAUUAUGAACAAUAUUUUUAAUUUUAAAAAUUUCACUAAAACAAGAAUAUUUUUCGAAUUUGGAGCAUUUUUUGUAAUGCCAUUUUUUUAGAAAUCACGUACAAUGUUUAAAAACAAUAAUUAUUUUGACAAAAUGGGAAACAUUAUGCAAGUUUCGAAUAUUUUUCCGAAUAGCAACAAAAAUUUGGAAUUCUGAACAUUUUCCAAAAUUUCUUGUUUUUUAAUUCUGAACUUUCUUGAGAAUUUUGAAUUUGCAAAUUAAAUUUCAAAAGAAAAAUAAACUUCGAAGUGAAAAAAGAUAUAGGAAAAAAUUAAUAAAAAUAUAAGUAAAACACAAAAAAAGAAAAAUCGGGUCAACCCAUUAUUGGCUGCUGGGUGCGAAACCCCUACUAUUUGUCGCCCAGAACGGAAAAUAGAAUUUCUCAGCUGUAUGGGCAGAAAAAUAAGUGGACUAACUUCUCUAAGCCACAUCGUGCAGCCCACGUAUGAAAAUUCUUUUUCUAGUAGAAGAAUGCAUAAGAAUUUAGUACCAUCUUGGAUAGAAAAAAAUUCUUUUCAGCAGUGAAUGGAUGAAAAAAUUGGUGAAAAGCACCUUGCUUUAUUAGUAGGUAUAGUUAUAGAUAUAGAUCUAAGUAACUCAAUCAAUCAUAAAAUGAAAAAUGAAAAGGUAAACAAAAAUACACACGAAUCUCCGCGUAAAAUCAAUGACAUAGGAUGCAAUACUUAUGACACAUCUAAAUAUGCUUUAACAAAACUGAAAAUAAAUAAAUACAAAAACACAUUUUUUACACAAUUAUAAAUGUCGUCUUCUACAGCUGCUCUAUAAUAGGACAGCCGCACAGCAGCACCAUAUAUAUUUUUCAUCCAUAUUCAUACAUAUUUCACAUAUAUAAAAUACUAAAUACCCUCUUUGUAAGGAAAUACAACUACUAAAGUAAUAAUCUAUUUUUUUUAAUAAAAGUAAUAAUCUAAACAAUCUUACAUUUAUUUACAAAGAAAGUACAUCUCAAAUGAAUUCAAAACAAAAUACAAACGGUUGCAUAGUUCAUCAAAUUCACAACAUAAAUUAUUCAUUGAGCUUAACAACAAAAUUUAGCACACGAUACAACAAAGUUUAUCAUACAAAUGCAACAAACAUAAAGAUAAACUAAGCGUGUUGUCUUUAUGCCAUGGCCACCACUCCUGCAUCUCAUCUAUUUGAAAAUCGAUCACAAGUCGCCGAUUAUUUGGUCUUGGAGGUUGGCAAGGUUUGGAUCUGUGUUUGAGAGGUUCACAAAAAACGGUUGUUUGAGAGGUUCGAUGAUGCUAGAUGCAACAAGCAAAUGCUAAGAAACGUUGCAUGCCUUGUUGUGCUUGUGGUCGCCCUCAACAACAAUUCCAAGCCACCGUUCUUCUAGUUGAACCAGACGUCCUUUGUCGCCUGGUAGGUGGACGAACAAAAUCGAUUCCUCUCCGAGCUUGUCGUUUUUUCCAUCAUUGGUAGAUUUAACACUAAGAUAGAGGUUGUUCGGCCCUACAUUGAAUGUUGCAUUGUCUCCAAAACAUUCAUGGAUACUUGGUUUCGUUAACCAUGAACGANNNNNNNNNNNNNNNNNNNNNNNNNNNNNNNNNNNNNNNNNNNNNNNNNNNNNNNNNNNNNNNNNNNNNNNNNNNNNNNNNNNNNNNNNNNNNNNNNNNNNNNNNNNNNNNNNNNNNNNNNNNNNNNNNNNNNNNNNNNNNNNNNNNNNNNNNNNNNNNNNNNNNNNNNNNNNNNNNNNNNNNNNNNNNNNNNNNNNNNNNNNNNNNNNNNNNNNNNNNNNNNNNNNNNNNNNNNNNNNNNNNNACACAUAUCAUAUAUUCAUCAUUUGUUUUCUAUAAUCACACAUGCAUAUCAGUACCUUAUUUGCUAAUAGAAAUCAUAUUCUACACCCCAUGUAGUUGAAAAUAGUAACGCUAAACUAAGUGUGAGUGUAGAAUAGCUUAUUCUACACCCCAGUAACGACACACACAAAAUAUAGUAACACACUAUGUAAAAUAUAGUAAUUUUUAAAAAUGUUGUAAAUUACAGACUUGGGUGAUAAAAAUAUAUUUUCCAAUUACUAAAUUUUGUACACUGUUUUACUAGAUUUUGUAUGUACCAUUAACAUGCAUGGAAAAGUUUUUAUUAUAUUAGCCAUUUAUAUUCAUUAAAUAUUUUCAACUACACAAUAAUUAAAUACAAUAUGCAUUUUUAGUUUUGGUUCAUAUAUUACUAAUUCAACUAAUCAUGUUUCAUACAAUCAAAUCAUUCAAGAUAUAUUGCAAUUCAUUCCCGCAGCAAUGCGUGGGGUAUCCUCUAGUUACAUGUGAUGUUUAUGUCUUUAUAGUGACUUUCAUGAUAUGUAUUGUAUAUACGCAUGAAAGUAGUUUUCACUCUAUUAUGGCCGCUCAUGCCUAUUAUACCUAGUUUGAACUAGGGCCUUUGAAAUGUCAGCCCAGGCAUAUGUCCAGACCAAAAAACAAUGAAAUGUUUCAUGUGUGCCGCAAAUAGAGCAAAGAGGAAGAGGGCAGGUCGGGGGCAAGGGUGGAGGUCGAUUUGGUAUGGGCUGGGUUUGGAGGGUCCGGUUGGGUUGCUUUUUUCCUCGUCGAGGCUAAGCAUCGUCAGAGCACCGAGCUGCUCCUAUAUAUGGUCACUGACAGUUCAACCAUGUAAUGUUUUAGAUCCAUGAUAUAAUCCCCAUCCUCAAAAAGAAAGGGAUUUCUAUUUUCAUGCCCCUUAUCACUUAGUUCUUCUCACUUUUGCGCACACUCUUUGGCAGUCCUCACUUUUCCCCUCCACGGCGCAGCCCACCCUCACAAAAUCCCAAACGGGGGUUUGUCGUCUGGUCAAAGUCUUUUACCGUUACUGGGCAUGAUUAUUGAUGCGUGGGACACCCUGUCAGCGGUUGCCCGCUCUCGGAUGGUGGGCGCAUAUAUUGACUUGUGGGACACCUUUGUCAGCGGUUGCGCGCUCGUAGAUGGUGGGCGCAUAUAUUGACUUGUGGGACACCACUGUCAGCGAUUGUGCGCUCGUAGAUGGUGGGCGCAUAUACUGACUUGUGAGACCCCUCUGCCCAUCUCUGACAGAGGUAUAUCCCAUACAUUUUUAGAGUAAUAUUGCUAUAUCCCAUACAUUUAGUUGAGUUUAGUGAAUUAUCAGAAAAUAUCCAAAUUUGCAUUACAAGCAUGAAAAUAGGGAGAAAACAUUACUGAAGUGCAGAGUUUUAUAGGCUGAGCUGCCUUGUUUGUGUUCCUCUUGAAAUGCCGAUGCCUUGUUUGUACAUGAAUAAUCACGGACUGUUGAUGCCUCGCAUCUUUCUUGAAGAGUUGAACUUGAAAUAUGCAUUAACAAGCAUCGGUAGUUGCUAGUUGCCAGGCAUACAUAUCUUGUGAAUUAAAGAUAACCGUUAUUGCAGGGAACAGAUUAUACUGCCGGAAGUGCUCAUUUGGCCUCC